rnacentral:lncRNA from 1 species
GCACAAAAUUAUAUUUCCAACCAUGUUAUAAAAGACUGUCAUCCUUUGCGACUCAAACCAUCAUGGAUACAGUACAGUAUAUAGUAGAGAUAAGAAUGUUCAAUCAUUUAGCCUUUGACACUUCAUAUUGCAUUUUCUUAUAAACUUCGGAAGCCAUUUGCCCAUCUCUAUGCUUCUGACAUCCAGCAAUCAUUGACAUCCAUCAAGCAACAUUUUUCUCCUUACCUUUCUGUCACUGUUUUCUAUUUCUAAUUCCCCGCCACGUUCUACAUCACAUCCUCCAUGCAUUGAGCAUGUUACCAGCUUUAGAAUAGAAUAUUAUCAAAUAGUUUCAGAAUGUAAAUUUGAAUGAAAAACCACAGCAUUGACGCAGUACGUAAUUCAAAUGAGAUCCCGAGACGAGUCGUAGGCUCGGACGUCUUGAGUUACCACCAGCUCCAAUUUGCCAAGCCAAUAAAAAAUAGUCAUGGGACCACAGGGACACGGAAAGUCCGUAUGAAAAGCCUGACCCGAGGUGGGGAGAUUAGUCGGACUACAGAUAGGAUACUCCACAUUAUAAAAAAUAAAAUAAAAUAAAAUGAAUGAAACCCAUUUUUCAAAUAUUUGGGGAUUGUUUGGCACAAUUUCAACUUUUGCUCUUCCAGUUGCUUCUAUUAAUCACCAUUCACCAGUUACAUAUUCUCGCCUAUAUUCUUCUUUUGUACAAGAAAACAACGGUAACGAGUCAAAUAUAGAGGAAUAAAUUCGGCAGUAUCAACACUGUCACUUUCACUUAGUUCACAACAUAGAAGCAAAAGGGCAGUUAAAGUGCCAAUUGACAGGAGAUGAAUCUUAUAGAGACCUUUAACAAAGAAAUGCCAUCAGGCAUGUACAAAUAGAAGUAGAAGUUCCCACAAAAAAAAUUGCUAGUCGGAGAAGUAUACCUUCAUUCAGAAAAUUUACUUCAAGAUAACAGACAUAUCGAUUUCAGGAAAAAAUUGAUUUCAGAAAAAAGGAAUAUAUUAAUUUCAAAUGUAACAAACAGUGGUCAACUUUGUUCAUGAAAGAUCACGUGAACAACUGAAACCAAAUGUGUCCAUCUGGUUGACAAAUUAUUCAGAAUGGGAAUCCUUUACGCAAGGUCUUCUUGGAGGAUUCUGCUAGUGGCUUAACAGCUUUUUCUUUAGUGUAAUACCCCAUCAAUUUCUUGGCAACAUCUUCUGGAUUACAUAAAAUAAAUGCCCUCACAAACCGGUCCUCUUUCAUCCUCAAUGCUCUAAAUAAAUCAGGUCCCUCAAUUUGCAGUUUAAGACCCAUAUCCUGUAUCUUCCUCGCUAGUAGAACUCGUGGCUUUAACACAGACUCUAAAUUGAAGUAAAGCAAAAAUGGUUUAGUAAGUAUCACACUAGCAGGUAACUUCAUUGUGCCCAAUAUAAAUGUCAUGUUUCUCUGUAUUUUGUCAAUGGACAUCGUUAACAGAAGAGGAGAGCGUCCGAUAAGACCAAAAACCUCAUCUUCUGUAAAUCCAAAUUUCUCCAAGUUUGCAAUCUUCUCCCGAAUGGUCUUGAGGCGAGAAAUGCCAAAGAGGCAGACGACAUACUUAUACAUCUUGGACUCCUUACUGACCCCAGUCUUGUGAAUAUACUCCAACUUUUCAUCAUCGAAUAAGGUUCGCGGAAUCAAUGUCGGGCGAGACAUAAGCAUCGGAACCAAUUCCUUUUUACUAACACCCAUUUGAUUAUAAAUCUCAACAACAGGUUUGAUUUCAUUAUGGAAAUCAUAGGUGAGAAGGGAAGGGUUCCGAACAAUGGCCUUAUGAAGGAAGAACUUCCCUAGACCCGAACAAUGCUUGGAAAUAAUCAAGGCGUUCCCUAAAUAAUUGAUUAAUACAGCUAGAGAGGAAACAGGGGCGACAAUUAAUGAUCUUAAUCAGGUCGGAAGAACUGAGACCAAGUUCACUAAGAAUGUUGAGCUUGUAUUGAAGGUAAGUGGGAUAGCUCUUGCGUAAGGAAGGUUUCCGCAUAAAAAUUUUAGCUAUAUCAUUUUCGGUGCAACCACAUUUCAUAAAAACCUCUGUGGGGUCUUUUGGAUGGUAUUCAGCAGUAAAUUCUUCUACUUUAACAUUUGUUAGGGUUUCUGCAGAAUUGAGCAAAGUACUAAAUAAACAGGGGUUCAAGAUUGGGCUUUUGGGAGAAAGGGGACUAUAGGUAUUUCCAGAACCGCAGAAAAUGAAGCGGAUUUGGAUCAGAGUAUUGAAUUUAGCUUUCAUAUUCAGAAUUCAGUUCUACGAGCUAAAUGAGAAAUUUAAAUAACACAAACGAAUUGAACAAUUUUGGUCAUUCCAUAAACAACAAACAGAUAAUAACUUGUAAACAAGGGACUGAGAAGUUGAUAUAUGAGAUGGAAAAGGAAAUUGAACUGACCUUUUUUGCAGCAAAUAAUGAAAAUGAGAAAAAAAUAGAAAUCCUUCUUCCUGAACUUUCUGUAUCGUAACUUAUCAAGGAGGAGCAGCAAUAGGUAAAUAGCAAGAGGGUGAGUUAAUAUAUGUGAAUAAGAACUCUUCUGAUAGAUCAUAG